rnacentral:rRNA from 1 species
AUUGAACGCUGGCGGCAGGCUUAACACAUGCAAGUCGAGCGGGGUGAUGGUGCUUGCACUAUCACUUAGCGGCGGACGGGUGAGUAAUGCUUAGGAAUCUGCCUAUUAGUGGGGGACAACAUCUCGAAAGGGAUGCUAAUACCGCAUACGUCCUACGGGAGAAAGCAGGGGAUCACUUGUGACCUUGCGCUAAUAGACGAGCCUAAGUCGGAUUAGCUAGUUGGUGGGGUAAAGGCCUACCAAGGCGACGAUCUGUAGCGGGUCUGAGAGGAUGAUCCGCCGCACUGGGACUGAGACACGGCCUAGACUCCUACGGGAGGCAGCAGUGGGGAAUAUUGGACAAUGGGGGGAACCCUGAUCCAGCCAUGCCGCGUGUGUGAAGAAGGCCUUAUGGUUGUAAAGCACUUUAAGCGAGGAGGAGGCUCUUUUGGUUAAUACCCAAGAUGAGUGGACGUUACUCGCAGAAUAAGCACCGGCUAACUCUGUGCCAGCAGCCGCCGUAA